AUUCAGAGAUGGCAAAAAGCACCGGGGAAGGGGGACCGUAACUGAAGAGAGGUGGCAGCGGGUUGGAAUGUACUGGGCACUCUGUCUUGGGCCCCCAAAAGGAUGUGUUUGGGAAUAUGACAGUCCCUAGGAUUUCUGAUCCCCUUCCUGACUGCAAGCCUCAGUCUCCCAUCACUGAGCUUGCAAACUCCUGUUUUCUCCUAGGACUUCAGGAGGACACAGAGGCCAAGCAAAGCCAAGCGUACCUAGCCCUGGGCUGCUGAUACGGAGCAAGUGUGGACAGACACUGUGAUGGUGGGGGCUUUUUACUCAGAUGUUCGGUUCUUUCUAGCCCUCAGCAUCUCUGGGCCCCAUUUCCCCCAAGGGCUGUGUGGGUUCAAGGUUGGAAGGAGACGCAACUGGAACAACCUGCCUUAGUCAGUGUUCUACUGCUGCGAAGAGACACCAUGACCACGGCAAGUCUUGUGAAAGAAGGCAUUGAAUUGGGCUGGCUUACAGUUCAGAGGCUUAGACCAUUAUCAUCACGGUGGGGAGCAUGGCGGCAUGCAGGCAGACAUGGCGCUGGAGAAGGAGCUGAGAGUUCUACAUCUGGAUCCAAAGGCAGCAGGAAGAGAGAGAGCCAUGGGGCCUGGCUUGGGCUUUUGAAACCUCAAAGUCCACCCCUAGCGACACACUUCCUCCAAUAAAGACGCAUCUCUUAAUCCUUUCAAAUAGUGCCACUCCCUGGUGACCAAACAUUCAAAUCUAGGAGCCUGUGGGGGCCGUUCUCAUUGAAACCACCUCAAGCUCUUUUCAGUCAGGAUGUGGGGGAUGCUUUCACCCCAGAAGGUGACAAAUACCCUUGAGAAGCACAGGGGGAAGAACAGGGCAGAAAAGAGCACCUACUAUGUGACAGACAUCUGGCAGUGUGCUGGGGAUCCAAUGGUAAACAAACCCUCGUCCCUGUCCUCAAAGAGCUGGACAGCCUGCUGCGUGAGAGAGAAGUCCACCGCGUUAAUUAGAAAUCAUAUCAACGAAAACAAAGCUGCAGGGAGCCAGAAAGAGAAUGAAGGUUCUUGACUUGAUGAAGGCUGUCUACCGACAGACCGCCACCCUCACCAGAGAAAUGCUAUUAGAGGACCACACAGGAUCCACGGUGCCCGCUCACACAAUGAUGAGCCAAUUGACUUAAUUACGAACGCAAAAAAGGAAAGAAAAGAAAAGAAAUGGCUGUUUUUUCUGAAAUCACUAAGUCAAAAAAAAA